UAAGUCGGUGCGUGAAUCGAGGCUCGAGCAACGGUGUUUAGCGCGCACCGAGCUAUCACUAACUCGUGCCUUAGACUCGCUCCCCAAGUCGCGGGAACAGGGAAAGGUGUAGCGAGGCCGGUGGCGUCGGAUCUGCCACCACGUUGCACACGAAGUGCGGCACCACCGGAGCCCAAGACGAAGACCUAAGUGGCGAGAUAACGGCGAGCUCGACACGCCAUGGCGUCCAACCAAGAAAGAAGGCAGGCGAAGCCCGAGCGGUCUCGACGAACGAAUCUACUCUGACGCCCAAAAGAACACUGCUUACAUGCCCAUAAGCUGGCCAAGUCCAAGUUCAGUGCAAGAAACGCUGAUGAGAUUUUCUUCGAGGUAAUCGGCGGAUCAAUGGUCGCUGGUAAGCGUCGGCCGCACUCUGUAGGUUCAUCAUCUGCUUUAUUACGUAUGCUCCCAUGUGUCUUUCUUUCUAAGUUAAGAUUGCUGUGGCUAAGGUUUUAUCAUUCAUGCUUAAAUGCACGCACAUGUUGUGUUCGAGAGAAUGCGCGUGACAAAUGGGUCGUCUUGUUACAAGGCUGAUGAAUUUUGGAGUUGUGAUGCAUACGAACAGUGAUACCAUGGUAAGUCCUCCUGCCAAAGCUGAGAGCAUGAAGCAAUACAAAUGCACCUGUCGCAGUUCAAAGAAAGGAAAGGCAAUAACUUUGACUGACUUGCCGGUUUCAGUCCCGACUUAACCAAACUGAUCAGAUAUGGUCUGAAGGAUGAAAGACGAUUGUGGUUACAUAGAAUAAGUGGUCUGAAGGCAUGGAUUAUUCAUGGAUACCGUCCUGGUAAACUGGAACUUCUACUCUGCUUCUUCUAAGCUCAUGCAAUUGUCUCGCAUCGAAUUUUGUUUAAUUUAGGAAGUAUAUAUAGGCUGAGAUGUAUCUUGAGAGUAGUUCAAUUAUGACUACAUGACUGCAAUGGAGUUCGUCACAGAUGAGUCAUCCUUGUGUGCAUAAUUCGAUACUAUUUUUUUAUUUAUGAUGCAUAUGUUUUUCUCUUCAGGACUAAAUUUUUUUUUAUUCCUGAUUCACCAGGUGUGGUCUCAUGUAGGACCGGUCACAGUUCCACACAUAUGCAAAACGUGUGCAUGGAGAGGCCAGUUGUCAUUUAACAUUGGUCCAUGAUGGAGUAUCGUCUUGUUUGAACAAACACCAUUGUUUGCAAAGUGAUGCAGCUGCGAUUGGUGAUGGAAGGAUUGAUAUGCGUCCUAAUCUCACAAUUAAGGAUACAUGUAUGAAGUUUUUCUGUGUAUGGAUGAAAGACUAUGUAUAUUGAUUCUCUCCAGACCCAUAUUGAUAGAAGCCUUGGCUAUGGCUUUGUGCCUAACCUUCAUGGUUUCAAUUCUUAUGCAAUUGAUUCCUACACGCUAUAUGAUUAGAUGGACGCUAUGUAAUCUUUGAAUGAAAUGAAUAAAUUCUUUUUAGAAAUCA